UCCCUGGUGGCUCAGAUGGUGGAGAAUCUGCCUUCAGAGCAGGAGAGUUGGGUUCGAUCCCUGGGUAGGGAA
rnacentral:tRNA from 1 species